rnacentral:lncRNA from 1 species
CCGUAUCAGUACCAGUGUCCUCUUGUUUUUCUCUCUUCAGGUUUUAAUCAGGCUUUGGCCUGGUUGAAUGAAUUUUCUUGAUCUAAGGAUGGCUGAAACUAGGGUUUUUCAGGUCUCGCGAUCUCAUUUUCUCUGGGCUCUCUCUCUCUCUCUUUCUCGCUCUCUCUCUCUCUGGGCUCUCUCUGUCUCUAGAUUUCCUACCCUCUCACGUCCCACCUU